AUAAGUUUGGUCCUAGCUUUAUUAUCAAUUACUUCUAAACUUACACAUGCAAGUCUCAGCAAUCCCGUGAGAACGCCCUUUCCCCCCUGGGCUAAGGGGCUGGUAUUAGGCACAGAAUUCUUGCCCACAACACCUAGUUAUACCACACCUACAAAGGCAUUCAGCAGUGAUAAAAAUUGUUCAUUAGCGUCAGCUUGAACCAGUUAUAGAAAAGAGAGCCGGCCAACCCGGUGCCAGCCGCCGCGGCUACACCGUUGGGCUCAAAUUGAUAUUAGUCGGCGUUAAGCGUGAUUAAAGAAAAGUAAAAUUAGAGUUAAAUCUAGACUUAGCUGUGAAAAGCUUGUCCCUUAGAAAUACAUAAACGAAAGUUACUCCAAUAACCCUCUUGAACACACGACAGUUAGGACACAAACUGAGAUUAGAUACCCCACUAUGCCUAACCGUAAAAUUUAACCCACACCCACAAACGCCAGGGUACUACGAGCCUUAGCUUAAAACCCAAAGGACUUGACGGUAUCCCACCCAACUAGAGGAGCCUGUUCUAUAAUCGAUGAUCCACGAUACACCAAACCAUUUCUCGCCAUUCAGCCUGUAUACCUCCGUCGAAAGCUUACCGUAUGAACGCACACAAGUAGGCCAAAGGACUCUAACGUCACAACGUCAGGUCAAGGUGCAGCUAAUGAAAUGGAAGCAAUGGGCUACAAUUUCUAAAUUAGAACAAACGAAAUACUACAUGAAACAUAGUCAUGAAGGAGGAUUUAGCAGUAAGUAGGAAAUAGAGAGUCCUACUAAACAUGGCCCUGGGAUGUGUACAAACCGCCCGUCACCCUCUUCGAUAGUUUUAAUAUAGUUUAUAACACACCAAUACGCCUUAGAAGAGGCAAGUCGUAACAUGGUAAGUAUACUGGAAAGUGUACUUGGAAUAA
rnacentral:ncRNA from 1 species